UUUCCGUAGGUGAACCUGCGGAAGGAUCAUUACUGAGUGAGGGCCCCUCGGGGUCCAACCUCCCACCCGUGUUUAACGAACCUUGUUGCUUCGGCGGGCCCGCCUCACGGACGCCGGGGGGCAUCUGCCCCCGGGCCCGCGCCCGCCGCAGCCACCUGUGAACGCUGUCUGAAGUAUGCAGUCUGAGACAAUUAUUAAAUUAAUUAAAACUUUCAACAACGGAUCUCUUGGUUCCG
rnacentral:misc_RNA from 1 species